rnacentral:tRNA from 1 species
CAGGAUGUAGCUAAGACAGGUAAAGCAUCUCCUUUACACCGAGAAGGCAUCUGUGCAAAUCAGAUUAUCCUGA